GCCGGGAUGGCCGAGCGGACUAAGGCGCAGGCCUGGAGAGCCUGUGGGCCCUCCGGGCCCUCGUGGGUUCAAAUCCCACUCCCGGCG
rnacentral:tRNA from 1 species